GCGUGCAAUCAUACCAGCGUUCAUGCACCGGAUGCCAUAAGAACUCCUCAGUUAAGCGCUCUUGGGCUAGAGUAGUACUAGGAUGGGUGACCUCCCGGGAAGUCCUAGUGUUGCACCCU
rnacentral:rRNA from 1 species